ACUCCUACGGGAGGCAGCAGUAGGGAAUUUUCCGCAAUGGACGAAAGUCUGACGGAGCAAUGCCGCGUGAGUGAUGAAGGUUUCGAAUCGUAAAGCUCUGUUGUAAGGGAAGAAUAGCAAGGAUAGGAAAUGAUCUUGUCUGACGGUACCUUACCAGAAAGCCACGGCUAACUACGUGCCAGCAGCCGCGGUAAUACGUAGGUGGCAAGCGUUAUCCGGAAUUAUUGGGCGUAAAGCGCAUGUAGGCGGCUUUUUAAGUCUGGUGUGAAAGCCUGUGGCUCAACCACAGAAUUGCAUUGGAUACUGGAAAGCUAGAAUCUUGGAGAGGUAAGUGGAAUUUCAUGUGUAGCGGUGGAAUGCGUAGAUAUAUGAAGGAACACCAAUGGCGAAGGCAGCUUACUGGACAAGUAUUGACGCUGAGAUGCGAAAGUGUGGUAGCAAAC
rnacentral:rRNA from 1 species